ACUGCAAGCUUCUUUUAACCUGCUCUUGAGCCAAGUGGCAGCCUUGCAGGGUACAUGGGAGAAGCCGUCCCCUGGAGGUCUCCUUAUGGGCCUCAUACAGGCAGCAGAAAGAGUUCAAGGUGACAAAUGAGGACAUCCUGGACAAACUGAGGAGCAUUGUGAGCUUGGGACAUCCCCAGAAUAAAUAUUUAGAAACUGAAAAACUCGUCCUAGGUCUCUGCAAUGCUUGGAUUUCCUUCAUUCCAGUGGAAUCAUUCACAGAGACAUCAAAAGUUGUAACAUCCUGCUUGGAAUGGAUAAGUCUGUCAAAAUGGACUGAGCAACAUCUCAUUAACCUCGCUGCACUAACCUUCCUUCUUAACGUCUUGGCUGCACCUCAGGAUUGGGGUAAUGUUGAGAGGAGCAGGGGGAGUUACUGGGGUGGUUGAGAACCCCUCCUGGGGACUCAGGUUUCUGGAAGGGGAGUUGUGCUUCUGUGUUACAUUUCCUUUGUAUAUUUCUGUAUAUAACUGUAUAUAUUGUAAAUAGCUGUUUGUAUAUUGUGCUGCUGUAAAUAACUAGCUUCAUUUAUAUUCCUGGAGCCCAUCUGAGUUAGCUGGGGUAUUUCUCAAAGUGUGGGGGGGCAGGAUAGAAGCCAAACCACCACACUCUUCACUGGGAAGCCUUCAGUGCAAU